UGUAUAACAAUCAACUUUCUUUGCGUUUGCUCGAGGUCUGGGCCAAUUUUGAUGCUUUCUGUGAAUCCCUCCAUCUGGGCUUAUCAAAAGAGGACGAGGAAAGAAAUAGAACAAGAGAAACGCAGGCUUAUGACUACGCUUUUUCAAAGACUAAAUGAGUCGGAAGGCGUGUGCUCUAAAGUCCGCCCAAAGUUCCAUCAAUAAGGUCCCCAGAGAGGGAGAGCUACAUCCUGCAUUUUCUUGAGAUUUCUGCGAGGUUUUUGUUCGAAUAAGCAACAAGAUGCACGAUAUUGUUGAAGGGCAACUCCUUUCAUGCCUGUCCAAAAUUUGUAGUCAUUUUCAAUUCAAGGUCAACAAUAAAUUUUUUAUAAUAUAUAUAAUAAUGCUAGAAUUACGCUCGAUCUCCUCAGCAUGCAUCGAGUAAUCGCGUUUGGAUUUCGAGAUCGACUGAUUUGAAAUGCUCGGUAGCCCAAAGAAUAAAUGAUGUCUGCUGUGCCAUCGACCGAGACCGUCAGCAGGAUGGGCGCGCAAUGACGUUUUACUCCGAGGAGGCUAUGUGGUUUCUUUUCUUUGUUCUUUAUUAAUCUUUCCCAGGGUUCCUAUUAAAAUAGAAAGGAUAGAUAGUGUAG